rnacentral:rRNA from 1 species
CACAUCCUGGGGCUGAAGUAGGUCCCAAGGGUAUGGCUGUUCGCCAUUUAAAGUGGUACGCGAGCUGGGUUUAGAACGUCGUGAGACAGUUCGGUCCCUAUCUGCCGUGGGCGCUGGAGAACUGAGGGGGGCUGCUCCUAGUACGAGAGGACCGGAGUGGACGCAUCACUGGUGUUCGGGUUGUCAGGCCAAUGGCACUGCCCGGUAGCUAAAUGCGGAAGAGAUAAGUGCUGAAAGCAUCUAAGCACGAAACUUGCCCCGAGAUGAGUUCUCCCUGAGACUUAGAGUCUCCUGAAGGAACGUUGAAGACGACGACGUUGAUAGGCCGGGUGUGUAAGCGCAGCGAUGCGUUGAGCUAACCGGUACUAAUGAACCGUGAGGCUUAACCUUACAACGCCGAAGCUGUU